GACUGCAUAAACUCAUUAACAGAAGACAAAAAAAAAAAGAAUACUUUUUACUAGUAAGUCCCCAAUUAGCUAACCGAUCUGCGACUACAUCAUUUUUUAGAAAAUCUUAGAUAUCGUUUGGUUCGGGAAUAAGCAAAGAAUGGCUAUUCCAGGAAUAGAUAUAAAUUGAGGUAUAAGCAGGGAUUAGAUCAAUUUUGCGUUUGGAUGAAAAUUAGGUUAUUUCUGGGAAUAAAAAAAAUAGCGUUUUGUUAGGUAAGAUGGAAUAAGAAAGAUAGUAGAUUUUUAUAAAUAAAAAAUAAUGAUANU
rnacentral:lncRNA from 1 species